rnacentral:rRNA from 1 species
GUGCCAGCAGCCGCGGUAAGACAGAGGGUGCAAACGUUGUUCGGAAUUACUGGGCGUAAAGCGUGUGUAGGCGGCCUUAUAAGUCGGAUGUGAAAGCCCCGGGCUCAACUCGGGAAGUGCACUCGAUACUGUGAGGCUUGAGUAUCGGAGAGGUUGGUGGAAUUCUCGGUGUAGAGGUGAAAUUCGUAGAUAUCGAGAGGAACACCGGUGGCGAAAGCGGCCAACUGGACGAAUACUGACGCUGAGACACGAAAGCGUGGGGAGCAAACAGGAUUAGAAACCCCGGUAGUCC